UGGUGUGGUGUCAUGCACCUGUAGUCACAGCUACUCAGGAGGCUGAGGCGGGAGGAUGGCUUGAGCCCAGGAGUCAGGGGUUCUGGGCUAUAAUGCACUAUGCUGGUCCACACUAACUUCAGCAUCAAUAUGGUGACCUCCCAGGAAUGGGGACCACUAGGUUUUCUAAGGAGGGGUAAACUGGCUCAGGUAGGAAACAGAGUAGGUCAAAACUCUUGUACUGAUCAAUAGUAGGAUGGUGCUGUGAAUAGCCACUGUACUCCAGCCUGUGCAACAUAGCCAGAUCCUCUUUUUU
ensembl:misc_RNA Metazoa_SRP Metazoan signal recognition particle RNA